AGGUCGCCGCCGUUGCUCCGCUCGCUCAGAGAGAGCAUGGCCCUGAGAGGCGUCUCUGUGCGGCUGCUGAGCCGCGGACCCGGCCUGCAUGUCCUUCGCACGUGGGUCUCGUCGGCUGCGCAGACCGAGAAAGGCGGGAGGACACAGGGCCAACUGGCCAAGUCCUCGCGUCCCCAGUUUGACUGGCAGGACCCGCUGGUGCUGGAGGAGCAGCUGACCACAGAUGAGAUCCUCAUCAGGGACACCUUCCGCACCUACUGCCAGGAGAAACUCAUGCCUCGCAUCCUGUUGGCCAAUCGCAACGAAGUUUUUCAUCGGGAGAUCAUUUCGGAGAUGGGGGAGUUGGGUGUGCUGGGCCCCACCAUCAAAGGAUAUGGCUGUGCUGGGGUUUCGUCUGUGGCGUAUGGGCUCCUGGCCCGAGAGCUGGAGCGGGUGGACAGUGGCUACAGGUCGGCGAUGAGUGUCCAGUCCUCCCUCGUCAUGCACCCUAUCUAUGCCUAUGGCAGCGAGGAACAGCGGCAGAAGUACCUGCCCCGGCUGGCUAAGGGGGAGCUGCUGGGAUGCUUUGGGCUCACAGAGCCCAACAGCGGAAGUGACCCUAGCAGCAUGGAGACCAGAGCCCGCUACAACUCAUCCAACAAGAGCUACACCCUCAAUGGGACCAAGACCUGGAUCACGAACUCGCCUAUGGCUGAUCUGUUUGUAGUGUGGGCUCGGUGUGAAGAUGGCUGCAUUCGGGGCUUCCUGCUGGAGAAGGGGAUGCGGGGUCUCUCGGCCCCCCGGAUCCAGGGCAAGUUCUCGCUGCGGGCCUCAGCCACAGGCAUGAUCAUCAUGGACGGUGUGGAGGUGCCAGAGGAGAACGUGCUCCCUGGUGCAUCCAGCCUGGGGGGUCCCUUCGGCUGCCUGAACAACGCCCGGUACGGCAUCGCGUGGGGCGUGCUUGGAGCUUCGGAGUUCUGCUUGCACACAGCCCGGCAGUACACCCUCGACAGGAUGCAGUUUGGUGUCCCGCUGGCCAGGAACCAGCUGAUUCAGAAGAAGCUGGCAGACAUGCUCACUGAAAUUACCCUGGGCCUUCACGCCUGCCUGCAGCUUGGCCGCUUGAAGGACCAGGACAAGUAGGGGCUGCGUGGCGGGGGCCGGGGGAUGGCAGCGGUGGGUGGAAGACCUUGUGUCCUUCCUGGAGAGAAAGGUCCUUCCUGCCUGGUGGCCCCGAGGACCUGAACCUUCUGCUGUCCCUCUUGUCCUUGAUGGGCUGGGCUGAGGACAGCCCCACUGGUCCCUCAUUGGGAGCUUGGCUGCAUCAGGGAAUCCCCACCCCGGGCUAGAUUUGCUUGGGGUGUUGGGAUGCCAGGAUCCCCAGUCCUCGUUACCCUCAUGUGCCGCUCCCAGGGCUGCCCCCGAGAUGGUCUCUCUGCUGAAGAGGAAUAACUGCGGGAAAGCCCUGGACAUCGCCCGCCAGGCCCGAGACAUGCUGGGGGGGAAUGGGAUUUCUGACGAGUAUCACGUGAUCCGGCACGCCAUGAACCUGGAGGCCGUGAACACCUACGAAGGUACACAUGACAUUCACGCCCUGAUCCUUGGGAGAGCUAUCACGGGAAUCCAGGCGUUCACGGCCAGCAAGUGAGUCCGCUCCAUCAGGGGCCCGAAACUCUCAAGCCCCUUUCUGGAGAGAUGCCUGGCUGGACCACAGGAGCGCUGUGCUCUGAGCUUAGAAAGGGAGGUGGCGGAUGGAGUGGGAAGUGAGAGACACUGAUUUUUAAAU
rnacentral:sRNA from 1 species